GAUCUGUUGUGUAACGGCUAGCACACGAGAUUUUGAUUCUCGAAGUAGAGGUUCGAUUCCUCUCAGAUCUA
rnacentral:tRNA from 1 species